GGCCGGGCGCGCGCAGCUCGCGGCUCUCCUGCUGCGAGGUCGGCGUCGCUGAGAACGCGACGGCGGCGCGCGGCACCCGGUAGGGCUCGGAAAAGGGAUUAACAGUACCAACUCGGCAGCGGGCGUAGUGUCAGCCCCGGGUACGGAGCAUGAAUGCACAGCAAACAACACAUUGAUUGGUGGUGAUGGGCAGUUACUUCUCUCCGUGAGAAGCCGCAAUAUCAUUCUGAGAGAGACGGUGAUGGGCCGAGCUCAACACAGUACCCACGAGGGGGAAAUGUCCGCCAGCUUCAGGCUAGCCGCAGGCCAACUCUUCCACCCUUGUCCCCAGUGCCCGACCACCGCAGCCCUCUAUGCAAAUGCCGUCACUACUACAGGACCAGAAGAAAGACAGCUGACGACAGAGGACUGAGGACCUGGGCACCACCACUUACCGACCACUUCGUCGUCUGGCUGAAAGAACGUUACCUUCCUGCCAACUAAAGAGCAGAAAUAGUCUACAGAUAAGGAAAACGAAGUAAAAUGGCCUCAUAAUCAAUUCAUCCUUUGGUACCAAGAUAUGUACACACGGACAGCUCUCAGACGGAAUCCUAGCUGCAUAGAGUGCUCAUCCUGCCAAAUCAGCCCAGGCUCUGCUCACUAGUGAUUCCACACACUAGCAAUUCCACACGGUCUCACUGUGUGGCCCUUUCUUACUUGGAACUUGCCGUGUGGAACAGACCUGCCUCAGCCUCUCAGAAGCUAGUGCCUCCUGGGUAAUGGGUUUAAAGGGACAUUUUCCUGGAACCAAAUAACAGAAGCUCGAGUUACACAUCCCAAGAGGACAUUGGUUCAUCUUGUGAGAAUGUCCACAUACAACUGAAAACAUGAAACUGACGCCAAGUCUCGAGAGCAUCCUGAGUUUAAAAGACACAAAGAAAUACCUAACAGUACAUGAUGAGAAAAGGAGAAAGAAAAAUCAGGGGCUGUAAUUUUUAAAAGUGUUCGUAUCUUUAUUUUAGAAGCACUCAAAACACCAGCAGAGAUGCCAUACACACAAACUCUGCUUCAUAAGCCAGGAAGGCAGACACAGUAUUUUAACUUAAAUACUCCAAGCUGCCAAGACUUUACAGUACACACAACAGACAGAUUUUACUAAAAUUUGGAAUUUCCAUAAGGUGACCAAGGCAAGACUGAAGCAUUCAGAGCCGUCCGGCUAAGUGAUGUGACGUCACUUCUGUAGUCCAGACCGUGAACUGACACAUGUCCCUGAGUGACGUGAGGAAAGACCCUGCACGGCUCGUGACCCAUCACAGGGACCUCUGUGCUUUUUUCGCCACUCAGCAUCCGGGGCACACUUUUACUGCAUCUCCAAUUUUCUCUUUAGUGACAAGGAUGAAGGCAUUAGUACUGAUGAACUUGUUAAUUAGACCUAGAGACGAGUUUUACUGGGAUGUAGCCAAGCCUAGGUUCUUUUGCUGACUGUGGCUGGAGGUUAGCUGACUGCAGCUGAGACCCCAGCCCCUGCUUUCAUCCUGAAACCCACAGGGAGAUGAUCUGGCUUGAUGCAAACCUUUCUAACAAUCACCACUAAGUCAUUAAAAGCUUAAUGAGACCAAAUUCACACAAUAUCUCUCCACGAAUCCAGCCCUUCAAAGGAUAAUAAAGGGAAAACACCAACAAAAGGACGGAAACUACACCCUAGAAAAAGCAAGAAAGUGAUCCUUCAC
rnacentral:lncRNA from 1 species